UUCCGGUUGAUUUUGCCGGACCUGACUGCUAUCGGAUUGAUACUAAGCCAUGCGAGUCAUUGUAGCAAUACAAGGCAGACGGCUCAGUAACGCGUAGUCAAUCUACCCUAUGGACGGGAAUAACCUCGGGAAACUGAGAAUAAUGCCCGAUAGAACAUUAUGCCUGGAAUGGUUUAUGUUUCAAAUGAUUUAUCGCCAUAGGAUGGGACUGCGGCCUAUCAGUUUGUUGGUGAGGUAAUGGCCCACCAAGACUAUUACAGGUACGGGCUCUGAGAGGAGUAGCCCGGAGAUGGGUACUGAGACACGGACCCAGGCCCUAUGGGGCGCAGCAGGCGAGAAAACUUUGCAAUGUGCGAAAGCACGACAAGGUUAAUCCGAGUGGUUUCUGCUAAAGAAACCUUUUGUCAGUCCUAGAAACACUAACGAAUAAGGGGUGGGCAAGUUCUGGUGUCAGCCGCCGCGGUAAAACCAGCACCUCAAGUGGUCAGGAUGAUUAUUGGGCCUAAAGCAUCCGUAGCUCGUUUUGUAAGUUUUCGGUUAAAUCCAUGCGCUUAACGUAUGGGCUGCCGGGAAUACUGCAUAACUAGGAAGUGGGAGAGGUAGACGGUACUCGGGAGGAAGGGGUAAAAUCCUUUGAUCUCUUGAUGACCACCUGUGGCGAAGGCGGUCUACCAGAACACGUUCGACGGUGAGGGAUGAAAGCUGGGGGAGCAAACCGGAUUAGAUACCCGGGUAGUCCCAGCUGUAAACUAUGCAAACUCAGUGAUGCAUUGGCUUAUGGCCAAUGCAGUGCUGCAGGGAAGCCGUUAAGUUUGCCGCCUGGGAAGUACGUACGCAAGUAUGAAACUUAAAGGAAUUGGCGGGGGAGCACCACAA
rnacentral:rRNA from 2 species